ensembl:misc_RNA Y_RNA Y RNA
GGCUGGUCCGAGUGUAGUGGCGUUUAUAAAGCUAAUUGAUCACAAUCAGUUACAGAUUCCUUUGUUCCUUCUCCACUCCCACUGCUUCACUUGACUAGCCUUUA